CCUACUGGUGGCAGCAGUGAGGAAUAUUGGUCAAUGGGCGGGAGCCUGAACCAGCCAAGUCGCGUGAGGGAAGACGGUCCUAUGGAUUGUACACCUCUUUAGGCGGGGAGCAAUGCCGGGCACGCGUGCCCGGCGGGGGAGUACCCGCAGAAUACGCAUCGGCUAACUCCGUGCCAGCAGCCGCGGUCGUACGGAGGAUGCUAGCGUUAUCCGGAUCUCUUGGGUUUAACGGGUGCGUAGGCGGAGUUUUACGUCAGAGGUAAAAUGGCCGGGCUCAACCCGGGCCGGCCGUUGAAACUGGGGAUCUUGAGUGGGCGAGAAGUAGGCGGAAUGCGUGGUGUAGCGGUGAAAUGCAUAGAUAUUACGCAGAACUCCGAUUGCGAAGGCAGCAUACCGGCGCCCGACUGACGCUGAGGCACGAAAGCGUGGGGAUCGAACAGGAUUAGAUACCCGGGUAGUC
rnacentral:rRNA from 1 species